UAGUAACUGCGAGUGAAGCGGGAAAAGCUCAAAUUUGAAAUCUGGCGGUUCCGCCGCCCGAGUUGUAUUCUGGAGAAGCGUUUUCUGCGCCGGACCGUGUACAAGUUCCUUGGAACAGGACGUCAUAGAGGGUGAGAAUCCCGUCUUUGACACGGACCCCCGGUGCUCUGCGAUGCGCUCUCGAAGAGUCGAGUUGUUUGGGAAUGCAGCUCAAAACGGGUGGUAAAUUCCAUCUAAAGCUAAAUAUUGGCGAGAGACCGAUAGCGAACAAGUACCGUGAGGGAAAGAUGAAAAGCACUUUGGAAAGAGAGUAAAACAGUACGUGAAAUUGUUGAAAGGGAAACGCUUGAAGUCAGUCGCGUCUGCCGGAACUCAGCCUUGCUUCUGCUCGGCGCACUUUCCGGUCUGACGGGCCAGCAUCGGUUUUGCGAGGUGGACACUGGUGGGGGGAAGGUGGCGGCUCCGGUCGUGUUACAGCCCCCCGUCGCAAACACCUGGUGGGACCGAGGAAUCCGGCGCGAGCCUGGGAUGCUGGCGUAAUGGCUUUAAACGACCCGUCUUGAAACACGGACCAAGGAGUGCUACACGCUCGCGAGUGUUUGGGUGGAAAACCCAGACGCGCAAUGAAAGUGAAAGUCGAUACCCCUUUGCGGGGGCACCGACGCCCGAGCCUGAUGUUUUCGGACGGCCUUGCGGUGGAGCGAGUGCGUUGCGACCCGAAAGAUGGUGAACUAUUCCUGAGGAGGGCGAAGCCAGAGGAAACUCUGGUGGAGGCUCGUAGCGGUUCUGACGUGCAAAUCGAUCGCAGGACUUGGGUAUAGGGGCGAAAGACUAAUC
rnacentral:rRNA from 1 species